rnacentral:rRNA from 1 species
UACGUAGGUGGCAAGCGUUAUCCGGAAUUAUUGGGCGUAAAGAGCGCGCAGGUGGUUAAUUAAGUCUGAUGUGAAAGCCCACGGCUUAACCGUGGAGGGUCAUUGGAAACUGGUUGACUUGAGUGCAGAAGAGGGAAGUGGAAUUCCAUGUGUAGCGGUGAAAUGCGUAGAUAUUAGGAGGAACUCCGAUUGCGAAGGCAGCAUACCGGCGCCCUACUGACGCUGAGGCACGAAAGCGUGGGUAUCGAACAGG